rnacentral:rRNA from 1 species
CCUACGGGGGGCAGCAGUGGGGGAUAUUGCACAAUGGGCGCAAGCCUGAUGCAGCGACGCCGCGUGGGUGAAGAAGUACCUCGGUACGUAAAGCCCUAUCAGCAGGGAAGAAAAUGACGGUACCUGACUAAGAAGCUCCGGCUAAAUACGUGCCAGCAGCCGCGGUAAUACGUAUGGAGCAAGCGUUAUCCGGAUUUACUGGGUGUAAAGGGAGCGUAGGCGGCAUACCAAGCCUGAUGUGAAAACCCGGGGCCCAACCCCGGGAGUGCAUUGGGAACUGGCAAGCUAGAGUGUCGGAGAGGCAGGCGGAAUUCCUAGUGUAGCGGUGAAAUGCGUAGAUAUUAGGAGGAACACCAGUGGCGAAGGCGGCCUGCUGGACGAUGACUGACGCUGAGGCUCGAAAGCGUGGGGAGCAAACAGGAUUAGAUACCCGUGUA